GCGGAAAAUAUCGGCGCCGUUUACCGCUGGCCAGUCAUUUCCACCUCUCGCCUCUGCGCCCCUCCACCGAAAUCGCCAUGCCGCAUGCUCACGCCGCCGCCGUAGUGGACCGGCUGCUGCGCAGGCUCGGUUCCGCCGCUUGGCGGCUGGAGGUGCCCCGGAGUAUAGACGGGGACCUAGCGCAUGUGUGGAGAACUCUGGUGAGGUUGCAAGAUGUGCUGGUUAGCCUGGAGAUCCGUCCGGAGGUGCAAGAGUGGAUGGGGGAUAUCAAGCAGGUCGCGUACGAUGUUGAGAAUCUGGUCGAUGAAUUGGAAGACCACAAUAGCAUGGAAUCUCAGAUGAGCGGCUGCGUUGCAGUUGGAGAGGAAGCACCAUCCUGCUGUUCAUGUUCAUUUCUCAUGCAUAGUACAAGAGCAGACAGAAUGAAGUCAAUCAAAAGAAGGUUGGACUGUUCAGUAAAAGAUUCUGUCGUCUUCAGUUUGAGCCAGUACCCUUUUCCUGAUGUUGAGAGAUUUGAUAAUGAAGCAUUUGAUAGAGCUGCAGUCGUUGGAAGAGAUAAUGACAAAGCAAAGAUAAAGGACAUGCUCUUGCAAAGUAAUGCAGAAAAGUUGUCAAUCAUUCCCAUUGUUGGCCUUGUGGGGUUGGGGAAAACAACUCUAGCUAGAUUAAUUUUCCUUGAUCAGGGAGAAGGUUGGAAUUUUGAUCUUCGUAUCUGGAUAUGCUUAAAUAGGAAACUAAACAUAAAAAUGAUUGCUAGUGAUAUAAUCUCGCAAUGUAAUCAUACAGAAGAAAAGUUUUUAGAUGUUCAUACAGGCAUGGAGAUCCAGGAAAACUUGCAGUUGCUAAAGAAUUGUUUGCAAGAGGCACUCCGUGAAAAACAUUGUCUGAUUGUAUUGGACGACCUUUCUAGCACAGAUAAAAACCAGUUGGAUGAAUUGAAGGAAAUGCUGAAGGGUACAAAUGAGUCUAUCAAGGUUUUAGUGACCACGUCCAGCGAAAUAACUGCAGAACUAGUGUACACCAUUCCACCGUACAAGUUGUGUCCUUUAUCUGAAGACGACAGUUGGAAAAUAUUUUCUCAAAAGGCUUUUGGGAAUUGCAAUUCUGAUAAUACUGACCUUAAGAGAAUUGGAAAGGAAAUAGUAAAAAGGUGUGAGGGAAUACCAUUAUUAACUCAUUCUCUUGGUUUAGUUGUACAAAAUCAAGUCACAAAUGUGUGGUUAGCUGCAAGGGAUGAAGAAAUAUGGAAACUAGAAAGAAGAGUUGCCACUAAAAUAGAAUUUUUUUCACCAUUAUACCGAAUAUACAAUGACUUCCCCCCAACUAUUAAAUUGUGCUUUCUAUAUUUAUCCAUAUUUCCUAAAGGAUCUGCAAUAGAUAAGGAAAAACUGAUCCAACAGUGGAUUGCACUCGAGAUUAUUGGUUCAAAACAUGACUCCUUGCCUCCUUAUGUGAAUGGGGAGAUGUGCAUUCAGGACCUUUUGUCAACAUAUUUUCUCCAAGUUCGAGAUAUGCACUCAGUUUAUGGAAUGGAUAACAGAAUAGUUCCUACAGCGUUCUACAUUCAUAACUUUGUCCACGAAUUUGCAAGACAUGUUGCUUGCGAUGAUAUUGUAAUUUUGGAUGGUACCGAAAUGCUAAAGGGCUGCGCAAAAUGGCAAACCUUCCAAUAUGCACUCAUGACAUGUUACCAGGGGCAGUCAACACUUUCCCACUCACAGCUUACAAGGACAAGGGCAUUGCAUCUCAGGAACUCUGAGGCGAUAACACUUCAUUGUGAAGCAUUUGAAUUACUGAAGCAUUUGCGUGUUUUGAAUCUUAGUGGAUGUUGCAUUGGAGAAUUACCAGCCUCUAUAGGCUGUCUAAAGCGUCUAAAAUAUCUUGAUGUUUCUGGUGUGCAGAUUCAAACCUUGUCAUCCCCGGUGAGUAGGUUGACAAACCUUGAGGUAUUGGAUCUAUCAGAAACAUGUAUGAAGGAAUUACCAUCUUUCAUUGGUAAUUUACAGAAUCUAAAAUAUUUAAACAUGCAAGGCUGUGAUAAACUUCAAAACCUGCCUUUAUCCCUUGGUCAUCUGCAAAGACUUGAGCAUCUUCGACUGUCAUGCUGCAGAGGCAUUGCUGUGCUACCAGACUCUUUGUGCAAUCUUAACAAUCUUCGAAUUUUGGAUUUAUCAAGAUGCACUAUGCUGCGACACUUACCUGCUCUAUUUGGUAACUUAGUGAACUUGGAGGAUCUAAGCCUAUCUAGUUGCUUCAACCUUAAGCAGUUACCAGAAUCUUUUGGUAACCUUUAUUUUCUUAGGUUCCUGAACCUAUCUAGCUGCUAUGAACUUCAGAAGUUUCCUGAAUCUCUUACAAACCUCGAGAAAUUGGAAGUUCUUAUACUCCGGAGAUGUUGCAGACUUCAAAUUCUCCCUCCCUCCUUUGCAAUGAUUAAGUACCUUCGAAUUCUUGAUCUGGCUGGCUGUGAAGCACUUCAUGUAAGUACUGAGAUGCUAACAACCAAUCUGGAAUAUCUGAACCUACAACGGUGCCUAAAUCUUCAGACUCAGCCAUACUACUUUGAAAACUUCAAUAAGUUGAAGUUUUUGAAUCUUUCCCAGUGCCUCCCUACCGUUGAUUGCCUGAAUUCUGUUAGUUACUUGUUCAACUUAGAAUAUCUAGACCUGUCAGAAACUUUCCUUGACAUACCUGUGUCUUUUGCAAGGCUUCGGAAGUUGCACACACUUAACCUCACUGGUUGUGCUCCAAUGCAUCGAUCCUCUAAUGUACACCAAAUAUGGGCAGGUAUAUUAGCAAAAAUUACAAGUCUCAAGUCUGUGCUGACGACGGACCCAGUAUUAGCGGCCUCUCUUCCAGGACAUGUCGAGUGCUCUGCUCACUACCACUCACUCACAACAACUGAUGAACUUGUUAUUAAAGAGAUCACAGGCAGUUCCAGAGGCCUUCAUAUUGCCGAGCAGUUGAAUCUGCAGAACCGACUGGAGCUUUGUUUCCUUAAGCUGGAGUGGGUCCCUAGGUCCCAAUCAGCUCAAGAUGAACUAUUGGAAUAUACAGAUGAGGAAGUGCUGGAGAAGUUCCAACCAAAUGAGACCCUGGAACAUUUUGUGCUAGUUAAAUAUACAGGCUAUGUGUUUCCUACAUGGAUGAUGAACAAACUGACUUCACUCCCAUACCUUGUCAACCUUUGUUUGUUCCACCUGCAUAACUGCAGUGCACUCCCUCCAAUUGGCCAUCUAAGAAAUCUCCGCUACUUGCAUAUUAAAGAUAUGCCCAACCUCAGAGAUCUAGAGAUGGGUCUUUCUGGGGGGCCUGUGUCCUUGGGGAAAUUGACUCACCUCAAACUGGAAGCACUGAAUUUAGAAGAGCUGUCUAUACUGUUGUCAGCCAACAAUGAGAGUCCCUGUUUCAUGUUUCCCAAUCUUGAGGAGUUAUCCGUUCUAUCUUGUUCUAAGCUUGUCUUCAAACCAUCUCUGCCAAAGUGUGCGAAAUAUGUAAUAAAAGAGAGUAACAUGGUUCUUUCAUGUGGGCAACCUCUGGGGCCAUUGUCAUCUCCAUCAAUAGAAAAAGUUGAGAUAAGUGGGUGUACGAUACCUUCUGGUUGGUUGCAGUGGCUUAGAUCCAUGCAGACUCUUGAGGAAGUAGUGAUAGAUGGUGAAGCUCUUUCAUCUUUUGAGCUCCUGAAGAUACAUGGAACUCAAGGAUCAUCUGGUAGUAAGAUUUCAAGUGAAACUGCAAGUUCAUCUAGGACAAAUAUGUCACGUGAGUUGACCACUGAGGAUGGUGCCCUUAAAGAUAUUGGUAUCGACAGCUCAACAAUCAAACCUUUUCCAAGGUUUAGCACCACUUCUGAACUCUCAGUGGAUCCUAUUUUGUCCUCUAAAGUAAGCACACCAUCCAAGGAGAUCCCAUCAACUUUACGCAGGCUGGACAAGUCAAAAAUGCCUGCACUAAUACCUGGAGAUGGAUCCUUAAACUUAAGCCUUAAGCAGGUUCGGAAGGUUACUCAGAAUUUCUCACCUUUAUUUAAGUUAGGUGAAGGGGGAAUCUGGACAGUUUACAGGGCUGUAUUAUCAGAUAACCAGUUUGCUAUCAUCCGGAGAGCUAAAAAGGGUCACGUUCAAGAGGCAAAACAUCUCAUGAAAGUGAAAUUCCUUACAGAAAUUAAUCACUGGAGUUUGGUGAGGUUCUUAGGUUUUAUUGAUAAAAAAGAUGAGUGUAUUCGGAUCACAGAGUAUGUUCCAAAUGGCACUCUUAGGGAACACCUACAUGACCAACACAAGAGAAUCCUGGAUUUUAAUCAACGUAUAGUGAUUGCCCUUGAUGUUGCUAUUGCAUUGACUUACCUCCAUUUGUGUUCUGAUGUGCAGGAAAGCACCCGGACCAGAUGGACUUAAUGCUAAAUUCUACAAAACGGCAUGGCCAUGGAUAUCUCAGGAUGUUACAACACUGGUGCAAGACUUCUACCAAACAGGUACUCCGUAUCUUUCACCGUGCAUAAAGACCUUUGCCUGGAGAUUGAUAAGAAGGGCUCUAGCCACAGGCGAAAGAGCAGGAAGAUGCUCAACAGUCAACACACAUCGGUAAGCAAUGCUCUACCUCUGGUCAAUGACGAAACUAAUGCUCAUCUUUUCUUUCAUUGUAAUUUUGCUAGAGCAGUUUGGUUCUCUUCAAAUCCUCCUCUAAGAACUGAUACUCUACCAAAUGAAUUAGAUGGAGUACAAGAAAUUCUUGCCUUUAUAAUGCCUCCAUCAAUCUCUGAUGGCAUCUUCCAAACUAUUCUAACAAAUUCUUGGUAUAAAAAUUGGACUACUUGCGAAGUCCACCAUGCUGCGGCAAAUCCUGUCUUAAUUGCAGAUGGCGAACAGAUAGCAAGAACACAGGACGGUUUAAGCUAUACAGUUGCAGGUGCUACAAGACAAAGGCAAUGCAAAUGCGACUUCAACAGCAAAUGCAACAAAGAUGCUGGGAUACAGAGCCGAAGUCAGAGCUACAUGAACAGCUGCAUAACACACAAAGCAUAGGUAUGGGAUUUCUUAAUGCAGCAAAUGGUGCACCUUCUGCCCAACAACAGCAACUCAGGUCAACUAGCCUGCCAAGGCCACCCCUCUACACCAUUGCCCUUCCAGCGCUCUUGCCAGUGCCUAAAUGCUAUGUGGAUUCUGCUACAACACCGGACAAUAGCCAAACAGAUACACAGAGACCUGCUGGGCUUGGAAUCCUCUCAUGAUCAACAAUCAAAUACACCCAGCCCAAAACGUAUACAUUCAAGGGGCAAUACAUAAUUCCACCUUGCGCUAGCAUUUCUGAUGGCUUCUCGCCUCGACUUGCAAAGUCCAACCUACCUGUCAGACAACCAGGCUCUGGUGACUUUAUUGAAUGGAUCAGAUUUCUCAUCACCACCAGACUGGAGAGUCAAGACCUUCACCAGCAAUUUCAUCACAGCGAAUGAAGGUCGUCAUCACAGCACAUUCCAGAUUGGAAGAAAACUGAGGAGGCGUUUGGUUCGGCCGUUUCAGCCUGGAAUCCAUUUACAGUGCCAACGGGUCACGUUGUCUGCUGUUUGGUUGGUCCGGCCUGCAAUCCAUCAUAGCGGCAUCGCAUUCGGGGCUAUACAAUUCCAUUAUUAUAUAACCCCCUCAACUAUCCAGACUAUAAAAUCAGAUAUUCUACCCUUUAAACUUUUCAAAACUGGUCAAAUAACCCUCUCGAGUAGUUUUGGAG